AACGAACGCUGGUGGCAGGCUUAACACAUGCAAGUCGAACGCAUCCUUCGGGGUGAGUGGCAGACGGGUGAGUAACGCGUGGGAACGUGCCCUUCAGUUCGGGAUAACCCAGGGAAACUUGGGCUAAUACCGGAUACGUGCGAGAGCAGAAAGAUUUAUCGCUGAAGGAUCGGCCCCCGUCUGAUUAGCUAGUUGGUGGGGUAAUGGCCCACCAAGGCGACGAUCAGUAGCUGGUCUGAGAGGAUGAUCAGCAACAUUGGGACUGAGACACGGCCCAAACUCCUACGGGAGGCAGCAGUGGGGAAUAUUGGACAAUGGGCGAAAGCCUGAUCCAGCCAUGCCGCGUGAGUGAUGAAGGCCUUAGGGUUGUAAAGCUCUUUCGUCCGGGACGAUAAUGACGGUACCGGAAGAAGAAGCCCCGGCUAACUUCGUGCCAGCCGCCGCGGUAA
rnacentral:rRNA from 1 species